AGAUGUGAGGGUGAUUUGGCUUUGACAUCUGUCACCUCAUUGAUUGCCAGGAUUGAUUUGGCUGGCCUGGCGGGCUAGGCAGGUGUCUUCUUUCUCCCUCACCACUCCAUGUGCAUCCCUCCCAAAGCUGUGCACUUGGUCAAAGAGGACAACCACCCCCGACAGAGGAGUAACCUUUCCUCAGUCAAGGGUAUAUGAGUAGCUACACUCCCCUCCCAGAACCUCCAAACAAGCUCUAAAAAAUCAGAUUAUUGUGCUGAGGUAUGUAACUUCUAUACCUUAUUUGUUGAAGGUUUUUUUUCAUC
rnacentral:snRNA from 1 species